rnacentral:rRNA from 1 species
UACGAAGGGCGCAAACGUUAUUCGGAAUCACUGGGCGUAAAGGGUGCGUAGACGGCAUGUUAAGUUCGUUGUUAAAGGCUCCGGCCUAACCGGAGUAUUGCAAUGAAAACUGGGAAGCUAGAGGAUGAGAGAGAGAAGUGGAAUUCCUGGAGUAGCGGUAAAAUGCGUGGAUCUCAGGAGGAACACCAAUGGCGAAGGCAGCUUCUUGGCUCAUAUCUGACGUUGAGGCACGAAAGCGUGGGGAGAAAACAGG